AUUGAACGCUGGCGGCAGGCCUAACACAUGCAAGUCGAGCGGAUGAAGGGAGCUUGCUCCUGGAUUCAGCGGCGGACGGGUGAGUAAUGCCUAGGAAUCUGCCUUGUAGUGGGGGAUAACGUCCGUAAACGGGCGCUAAUACCGCAUACGUCCUGAGGGAGAAAGUGGGGGAUCUUCGGACCUCACGCUAUCAGAUGAGCCUAGGUCGGAUUAGCUAGUUGGUGGGGUAAAGGCCUACCAAGGCGACGAUCCGUAACUGGUCUGAGAGGAUGAUCAGUCACACUGGAACUGAGACACGGUCCAGACUCCUACGGGAGGCAGCAGUGGGGAAUAUUGGACAAUGGGCGAAAGCCUGAUCCAGCCAUGCCGCGUGUGUGAAGAAGGUCUUCGGAUUGUAAAGCACUUUAAGUUGGGAGGAAGGGCAGUAAGUUAAUACCUUGCUGUUUUGACGUUACCAACAGAAUAAGCACCGGCUAACUUCGUG
rnacentral:rRNA from 1 species